AUAUAUAUAUAUAUAUAUAUAUAUAUAUAUAUAUAUAUAUAUAUAUAUAUAUAUAUGUAUGUAUAUAUGCACAUAAUCUGUGUAUGUAUGUAUGUGUUUAUGUAUGUAUAGCCACAACUAUCUAUUAAAACACAGCUGAUAUAACCAUUAUAAGACAAGUGUACAAUACUGUUUACUCCAGAAAUAUUAAUGUAUGCAAAUAUACUGUAUAGUCCCAUAAUA